rnacentral:rRNA from 2 species
CAGUGGCGAACGGGUGAGUAACACGUGGGCAAUCUGCCCUGCACUCUGGGACAACACCGGGAAACCGGUGCUAAUACCGGAUAUGACGUGCCUUCGCAUGGGGGUGCGUGGAAAGCUCCGGCGGUGCAGGAUGAGCCCGCGGCCUAUCAGCUUGUUGGUGGGGUGAUGGCCUACCAAGGCGACGACGGGUAGCCGGCCUGAGAGGGCGACCGGCCACACUGGGACUGAGACACGGCCCAGACUCCUACGGGAGGCAGCAGUGGGGAAUAUUGCACAAUGGGCGAAAGCCUGAUGCAGCGACGCCGCGUGAGGGAUGACGGCCUUCGGGUUGUAAACCUCUUUCAGCAGGGAAGAAGCGCAAGUGACGGUACCUGCAGAAGAAGCACCGGCUAACUACGUGCCAGCAGCCGCGGUAAUACGUAGGGUGCGAGCGUUGUCCGGAAUUAUUGGGCGUAAAGAGCUCGUAGGCGGCCUGUCGCGUCGGAUGUGAAAGCCCGGGGCUUAACCCCGGGUCUGCAUUCGAUACGGGCAGGCUAGAGUUCGGUAGGGGAGAUCGGAAUUCCU